UUGUUUGUAGUGUCGGAGAGAGCCGCAUAAGAAAUAAGAAAGAAGAAUCGCUGCACAACUGGGUGGCUGAAAUCGUGAUGUAGAUCGAGGAAGGAGGAGUGGUCUGUGGUGGCUCUUGGGUGUUCCUUCGACAUAGCAGCGUCGGUUGAGGGUGGAAUCCGAUGGAGGAGUGAGGCCGCAUUAAUUUUAUUGACAAGAGCUCCGGACUCGCAUUACGGUGACGGCGGCGAGAAGCCUGUCCAUUCUGUCCUCGGCGGUGGAAAGCAUAUGAAAUCUCUCUCUAUUUCUCGUAAAUCUGUGAUCGCUAAAAAGUAGAUUUUGAAUCCUACAUUUUGUUAAAUUCCAAUUUGAAUGCAUUGUACUUGUAAAUGCUGCUGAUGUUCUCUUGUGGAAGAACAAGAAGGUAUUUGCUGGUGCACUUGGAAGAGCCACUGCCACUGCUGUUUGGCUCUUUUUUGAGUUUCUUGAAUACCACCUUCUUACUCCAGUCUGUCACAUUUUGAUUCUUUCGAUCACGCUUUUAUUUUUGUGGUCUAAUGCUCAUACCUUACUUCACAAAGGUUGUCAAAUUUUUGCAUUCAUGAUGAUUUUGAUUGCAAUCUCUACUGAGAAGUUGCGACAGCAUGUGUUCAUGCCAAAGAUUUUGGAAAGAAGGCUUUGUGGAAGCAUAAUGUCUAUGGACUUACCCAAGGGUUGCAUCUUCUCACCAUUUCCCGCUUGGGAAGGAACUCAGAUGAUGACAAAGGGCAGGUAGAGGGAAGGACUUUGAAGGAAGUAUUGAAACCAGCAUGCUUAGUAUAUGUGGCUUGAAAAGAGGGUUGAGGAGGAUUCUUAAAUUGAGAAGCUCCGCAGUUUUGAAUCCGGACAUGCUGGAAUUGAAGCAAUUCAAAAGAUAGAAGAGGAUGGUAGAAAGAGCUUUGAAGGUGUAUGGAACCAGCAUGCUUAGUAUAUGUGGCUUGAAAAGAAGUAACUUUUUACAGAUUUUGGUAUUUUUUGUAUAGGUGCGAUCUUUAUGAAUUACAUGAAGCUUGUUAUUAAUUGAAAUUCAUUUAUCUCUGAUCAAUGAAGAGUUGAUUCUUGAUUAA